rnacentral:lncRNA from 1 species
UAGAAAAUAAAAUUUACCAUGAUUAGAGAGUACUCAUCCAAUAUGUGCAUGGCCAUGUCCCUGAGCAAGUCAUGCAUCUUAACAGCAUUACCACCAUCAAUUCUUUCCAAUAAGCAGACAUCUUCUAGUCUAUCAAGAAUUGAGUGGCCAUUGUUCAUUUCUUUAAUUAUCCCCUCCUCGAUAAACGACCCUAUCAACUCCUCCCUUUCAAUCUUAUCACGUUCAUUAAAUAAUGCACAAUAUGCGAAGCAUUGUUGUGCUGAAUCAUCUAAACAAUCAUAACUUAAUCUUAAUAUCUGGAAUAUCUGAUCUUCCAUGUCCCAAAAAUUUGAUUCUUUCAAUCUCUUCAAUGUAAUCCUCCACUCAAAUAGGUCAUCUACUCCCUUUAAACUUUUUGCUAAUGUAAUAAUUCCCAAUGGCAAACCAGCACAUUCCCUUGCAACAUCUACAGCAAUUUGUUCCACUUCUGGAGAAAGUGGUUUGUCUUGUCCAAGCUUCUCCAUGAACAAAGUCCAAGAUUCUUCAUCAGAAAGAGGAUCCACUCUUAUAUUGUUUUGGCUAUUCAUCUGCCGACAAACCAUUUCUGAUCGAGUUGUCAUAAUGAGCUUGGAUCCUUUCAAUGGGAUAGGAAUCCCCACUUCUUGUGGCUUAAAAGAGUUCCACAAAUCAUCUAUAAUGAGAAUCCAUUUUGGUUUCUUCGCUAGUUCUUUUGCCAAUUUGACAGUUUUACUCAUAUCAUCGUCUUCGCUUGAAAUAUCUAAAUCAAGACAUUUAGCAAUGAGAUUUUGCAACUUUUUAAUAUUAAAGUCUUGAGAUAUAGUCACCCAGCAAACAUCUUGAGAAAUGCCUUGUCUUCCUAGAAGCUCAUUGCAGAUAUGUUGCAGCAUUGUUGUUUUACCAACUCCCCCCAUUCCGUAAAUGCCAAUAGUUGAGACUUCAUCAUCCAUUAACCAAGACCUUAUCACCUUCAUAUUCUGUUCAAAUGCUUGACCCACUAGCUUUGUAGAGCUGGCACUUGUGCUGGGCUGCACUAAUCUUCCACUACUGUUCUCCAUUAAUCUAGCUCGUUCUGAUGAGACGUGGGAAGGAAAAUAGGUUUAGGAUCGGUUUAUCUUGAACUCCACAAAGCAUGCAUUAUGUAAACCAAGAAAGACCAAUUGAUUGAAACUAUUAAUGAUCCUAACUCCAAAGAUUCAAACAAUAGUUCCAUGUGAAAAACAAGAUGGUCAGAUAAAAAAGAAAGAAAAAAAAGACGAUGAGGUAUACAUAAUUUACCUGGGGAGACAUUUCUGUCAAUUUUCUGAAUAAAUCCUUCACAGAUGUAUUCCACGCUACUUUCCGCUUCUGGAUGCGAACAAAUUAACUCUUCCUCUGCACCUUGUUCCCUGCCCUGAACUCCCACUUGUAUCAUUCCAUCAUCACCUGCCAAUUUAUUAAGUAUUGUAUUGCUUUGCUCCGUCAUGUUAGCUACUGGUUCUGUUUUCUCUCUAACUAUGUUCUGCACAUCAUCCAUAAUGACAUCGUUUUUUGCUGAUGGAGAACAGAGUUGAUCAUGAUAACUUCCAAGGCUAAGACACGAUAGAUCCUUUGGUGAGGAUGAAUCUCCUCGAGGCCCGUCAGCUUGAUUAAUUGAUAACUCAAUCUCUUUAUCAACGAUGCUAUCCAAACAAUCUUUGAGCGCUGUAGGGGAAAAAGCUUCUCCUUGUUGUGCCAUUUCUACAUGUCUCCCUUCAUAGUUUUGUUCUUGUGCAGAAGUUGGAAUUGCAUUAUUGACUUCGUUAUUGCUUGAACCUGCUAUAACUUUUUGUUUCUUUUCUGGAGGACCGUCAAUUGCUGCACGGGCUGCAUCUUGAACUUUUUCAGGAUCAUUCUGUAUAACGAUUCCCAUCCCCUUUCUUCUUUGGCCCUGCAGAUACAAAUAAAUAUUAAAUAAAAAAUGGAUUUUGAAUUGCUUGUCAGAAAAAGAGCCGGCUAAGUAAUCUAAAAUAAAAUAAAAAUUGAAGAAAUUCUGCUUGUUUUUAAGAUAAGUAAUUGAAGUUGAUAGCAAAAUGAACAAUUAAGAACUACCUGAUCAUUCAACAUAUAUAAUUAAGUUCUACCUGAUCAAUCAAGAAUCCCACAAUCAAAAGGGCACUUUUAUUUGGACGAAUCAAGACAAAUAGGUAAAGAAACAAAAUUAGUGGUAGAAAAACAAGAAAAGAAAGUAGAAUAUACCUUCCAAGCAAGCAAGAAAGAUGUGAACGCCAGAUGAGAUGAUUCGAUUCAAUCAGAAAAGGAAGCACAGAUCAUGAGAAAGGUUUAAGAAAUUUGGUGAGGGAAAUUGGGAAAUCAAAAAGAAAUUUUGAAAAAAUUCUGCUUGAUUUUUAAAAUAAGUAGUUGAAGUUGGUAGCAAAUGGAUUCUUAAUUUUGGAUACGCUUUGAUUUUUUCAAGGGAAAGGGGAGGAGAGGAAUUAAAAUUAAGGUUAAUUCAUUAAGAUUCAAUUAAAAGGCAGACAUAGAGAUUGAUAUGGUGAGAGCGAGAGAGGAAUUAAAACACGAUUGCUUACCCGAAAUUUAAUAUCCAAAUCAAGGGGCAAUAUCGUCUCCUACAAAGGGUAGAGUAUAAAACCAGUAAGCACCUCAACUUAAUUCGAUAUUAUAUUAUAUUAUAUUAAAGGCAGACUCAUAUCAUACCAGAACCUUUACAAAGGGACGAAGGACAUCUGUAGUGUUAGGAUGCUCCCACUUCACUACUGACUCCCACCAUUCUUCUGGACAUAUCUCAAUUCUUCUAAGAGAAGGGGGAGGAGAUGGCUGGCCAUUUUCAAGCAACGGAAGACAUAUUGGCAUCCUCUUCAGAUUCUCACAAUUUGCUAUCCCAAUUACUUCAAGAGAAUCGCAAAUCAGUUUUGCACUACAAAUGCUUUUCAGUUCUGGUAAUUUACUCAGGUACAGUUUUCUUAACCUUGGGAGUUUGAGAUGAUUCUUAUUGCUGCUGGUUUCUUCACCCAUAACCCCUUCUUCAUCUGAUCUUAUUCCACCUAUUAUCUCCUCCAUUUUCUUGCAACUACUAACUUUAAUUACUUCCAGGUUUAUGAGGCUUGGCAGCAAGAUGAAGGGGAACAACUUCUUCAUGCUCUCACAACCAGAACAAUGAAACUCUUUAAGACCAGAAAAUAUACCUUUGUCAGAUGGAGAUGGUAGUGAAGCAGAGCAGUACCAAGAAGAUGAAACCAAGCUCUCCAUGCUAUUGCAAUACCUUAUGUUGAUAACCUCCAGUUCAAUUGCAUUCUUUAUUAGAGUGGAAACAUCGCAUAAACUUUUUGCACCAUUACAUUCAUCAAUGGUCAGUUGUUGAAUGUCAUUCCAAAACGUGCUCGGAAAAUCUCCAUCUCUGUUGAUAGUGAAGUUACCCAAAACAAUUACUUUGUCUUUGUCUCCUAUAUAAUAUUUGUGAUGUAGCAGUCCUACAACAAUUCUAUAUUUUGUUAGUAAUCGGGUCUUGUCCCGAUAAUUGAGAUACUCCACGUAGUCAGAGUAACCUUCAAAAUGGCAUUCCAAAGUUUCCAACUUCCUCAAGCAUCCCACUUCCUUUCCUUUAACUGUUAUCGGAGCAUAUUGUUCUCUUUUAUUAUCUUCGGUAAGAGAAAGAAUCCACUCCUCCAAUACAAAGACUUGCAAGUGAGAGAGUUUAGGUAACAACCCACCAGGAAACUCCUUUUCACCACAUCCAUUCAUUCUAAGAUACCUCAGGUUGCAUAGACAUUCCAUGCCUUGAGGCAUCUUUUCAAGUGCCCAACUACGAGAGAAAUCUAACCUCCUCAGUGCACUGAGCUUUUCUAAUGACGGUACAUGCCUUAACAUUUUACAACCAAUGAGCUGUAAUGCAGUGAGACUCACCAAUUCAGAGAUAGAAUUAGGCAGUUUUGUGAUAUUUGUAUAAGAUAGAUCAAGAAUCUUGAGCCCAUGCAACUGGUUAAAAAAUGAAUCUGCAAUAAAUUGUAACUCUGAGUUUCUGCAUAGCAAUAGAGUUGAAAGACUGGGACACCUCGGUGAAUGCGUGGAAGGAAUUUUUUCAAUCUGGUUAUGCAUCAGUGAAACUCUAGUAAGAUUCUCUGUCCACUCCUCUGCACCCAGCACUUCUCUUAACCGUGCACCUGCUUUAACCAUGCCUUGAGAGUUCUCUUCCAGUAUUUGGAUGGCCAUAUCCCUAACCAAGUCAUGCAUCUUGACAUAUCUAUCAUCAUCAAACUCUUCCUUAGCGCUUUCCAAUAGGCAGACUCUUUCGAGUUUAUUCAGCAUCAAGUGGCCUUUGUUAAAUUCUGCCUCCCUACUCUUCAGCCCUUUUAUCACUCCCUCGUCAAUCAAAUAAGCUAUCAAAUCCUCUCUACGGAUCUUGAAGUCUUCCGGGAAUAAUGCACAGCACAAGAAGCAUUGUUGCAGUUCUGACUCCUUUAAAUGCAUAAAACUAAAUCUCAGUAUGUGGAAUACCUUUCUCAUCCAUGUCCUCCUGCCAAACUCUUGAUUGUUUCAAUUCCUCUAAAGCAUUCCUCCACUCACAUAUAUCAUCCACUCCCCUCAUGGUUCCGGCCAUUGUUUUAAUUCCAAGAGGCAAACCGGCACAUUCUCUUGCCAUAGAUUUUGCAAUUUCUUCCGCUUCUGGAGGAAUACAUCCAAGUACCUUCAUGAACAGAGCCCAAGCUUCUUCCACUGAAAGAGGCUCCACUUUGAUUGUCUUCUGGCAGACCAUCCGCUGACAAACUCCAAAUGAUCGAGUUGUAAGAAUUAGUUUGCAUCCCUUCACUUUGAUAGGAAUUCCCACCUUAUUAUAAUCAAAACAGUCCCACAAAUCAUCUAAGAUGAGAACCCACCGCUGUUUCUCAAUUAAUGCUUUUGACAGAUUUGCAGCCCUUUUCCUCUCGUUGUCUUCAUUUGAAAGAUCUAAAUGAAAGUAUUUUGCAAUAAGAUUCUGCAAUUUACAAACACUAAAAUCCUGCGAUACCGUGAUCCAGUGAACAUGAGGAAAAGUGCCAGGUUCUUGUAGAAGCUGAUUGUAGAUAUGUGUGAGCAAUGUUGUUUUGCCCGCACCCCCCAUCCCGUAAAUGCCAAUACUUGAUGAGGCUUCAUCAUUCAUUAUCCACGACCAGAUAGCAUUCUUAUUAUUUUCAAACUCUCCACCUAUUAGUUCUUCAGUUAGAAACACAUCUCGUCCGCUCUCAUCGCCAUUACGUUGAAGAACUUCAUGAGAGCUAUCUCUCACAACAGGCUGCCCAGGGUCUCCAACCAUGUUCACUAGUGGAGGACAGAGUUGAUCAUGAUAAUCUUCUUGAGGCUCAUCAUGAUUAACAAGUGGCCUCCCACGAGAACUACCUCUUACAACAGGCUGCCCAGUUACUCUCUCCAGAUGUUGCCCUUGUGCUGCCACAUUGUCGACUUCAACAUGUAAGCUAGUAGGUAAUGUAUCUCCUGGAGUCUCAUUUGUGUUGCCUGUGAGCCCUCCAGAAGAGCUAGCUCCAGCACCAGGCUGCACUACCCCUCCAGUCCCCUUCUCUAUAUCAUCCUCCAUUAAUAAAUUAUAGAUAUCAUCCCAACUUCUUCCAAGUGCGUGACCCAUUAUAUCUGGUGCUUGUGUCGUUCCUGCAUCUCCUGCCAAAUUGUCGACUUCAUUAUUGUUUUGUUCUUGUGGAGUGGUUGAAAUGGCAUUAUCGUUAACAUUGCUUGAACUUGCUAUGCUUUUAUGUCUUUUGUUGCCACCAUGCAUAGCUUGAAAAGCUGCUUCUUGAACGUCUUCAGUCACUUGUCACAAAUUGCAACACCAUGCCCUCUGACUCCUGACAAAUGCCAUUUGAUCCUCGAAAUGGAAGUAGCGCAGCAAAUUUAUAGCCACAAAAUGUACAGUGAAACGACCAUCAUCCAGCUUCUCAACAAAAUCCCAAAAUCGAUCAUUCGGUCUAGCCAUUUUUGCCGCUUUCUUCUUUGGCCCUUCAAAUAUCAAAUAAAAAUUGUCAAAAGUAACGCAUAAAAAUGGAUGUUGAAUUAAUUGGAAAAUAAGAACUCAAUCAUAAAAUGAAAAUUUAGAGGAAAUCAUUAUUUUUUUAUAAAUAAGAAAGCAAAGGAAGAGAGUGCAUACCUCAAUCUUACAAAGCAGUGCCCUUCAAAGAAAGAAGCCCAGAAGCAAAGGCAGCGAGUACAAAUGCUACAGUUUGUCAACAACCAGCAAACAUCCCAUAUAUAUAAAUAAACUGAAGCUGUAAAACAAAGCAUGUAAAAUUAAAUCAAUCAUUACAAAUUCUGAAAUUAAAUAGGCAGGCACUUAACUGUAUAUUUUCCUAUAGAGAUGUACUUUAAGCAGAUAAAAAAUUAUAACAAAUAUUGAAUAAUUUAAAUAAUUGUCAGAAAAGCAAUCUAAAAUAAAACUUUGGAAGAAAUUCUGCUUGUUUUGAAGAUAAAUAGUUGAGUUUGAUGGCAAAAUGAACAUGUAAGAACAAAGCUAUAAUAUGAGUUUUGAGUUCUAAAAUAGAUUAAGCAACACAUAUCUAAUAUUUAAGUUCUACCAGAUUGAUCAAUCGACAAUCCUACUUAUUAUUUCUGCAACCAAAUGGGCAAAUCUUAUUUGAAACAAAGUUAGUGGUAGAAAAACAAGAAAAGAAAAUAGGAUUUACCUUGCAAGCAAGAAAUAUACAGAUCAAGAACACAAUAUGAGAUGAUUCGAUUCAAUCAGAAAAAGGAAGCACAGAUCAUGAGAAAGGUUUAAGAAAUUUGGUGAGGGAAAUUAGGAAGUCAAUGGUAUACUGAGAGAGAUCAAGCAGAAGACAAUGUCAUUUUUGCAGUAGCUGGCUACCAUGAUAGUAUUAAUUAUUGUAUCUUUUAAUAAGAAGGAAGCAGCAGCUUUCCUACCAAAUAUUAUAUUAUAAGAUAUAGCAAGUUGCUUUUAACCUUUAAUUAUAUGCAAGUGCUGCCUUUUGCUUUCACUUUUGAAUUUCUCAAGUCAUUCAGAUUGAAUGCAAUUCUUAUCCAACAAAAUCCCAAAAUGGAUCCCUCUGUCUAGCCAUUUUCACCACUUUCUUCUUUGGCCCUUCAAACAUCAAAUAAAAAAAUUGUCAAAAGUAAGGCAUAAAAAUGGAUGUUGAAUUAAUUGGAAAAUAAGAACUCAAUCUUAAAAUGAAAAUUUAGAGGAAAUCAUUAUUUUUUAAAUAAGAAAGCAAAGGAACAGAGUGCAAACCUCAAAUAUCUUACAAAACAUUAAUGGCGUAAGUGUGUUCACAAAAUAAACUGAAUCUGUAUAAUUAAAUCAAUCAUUACAAAUUCUAAAAUUAAAUAGGCAGGCACUUAACUAUAUAUUUUCCUAUAGAGAUGCACUUCAAGCAGAUAAAAAAAUUAUAACAACUAUUGAAUAAUUUAAAUAAUUGUCAGAAAAGCAAUCUAAGAUAAAAAUUUGGAAGAAACUCGGCUUUUUUUGAAGAUAAGCAGUUGAAGUUGAAAGCAAAACGAACAAAGUUAUAAUAUGAGUUUGAGUUCUAUAAUGCAUAGAACUCAAACUCAUACUUUUAUUUGGAAGAAUCAAAACAACUAAUAUUAACAAUGAAUUUGGUAUGAACUCUAGAAGGCAAGGACUUUAAUAGUUUCUCAAUAAGAUUUCAACAGCUUGCGGUUUACUAAAAAAGAUUCAAAAACAAAGACAGCAACAAAAUGAAGAAGAUGAAGUAUAAACACUUUACCUGGAUUCAAAAGAAUUUUAACAAAAGAAUCUGAAGCUAAUUGCUGAGUGGGGAAACGUGUGGACGCGCCCCAAUGUUGAAACUCUGGGAAACUGAUAUGAAAAUGUAAGCACAAGAAUAUGAGAAAGAGUAGGCAAACUAGUCACCUGUCAAGCUGACAAGAGGCACUCAACAGACAAAAGAAACCUUGAGAGCAGCUGUUUUCAAGAUAAAUAGUUUAAGUUGAUGGCAAUAUGUAAGAACAAAGCUAAAUAUGAGUUUUGAGUUGUAAAAUAGAUCAAGCAACACAUAUAAUUAAGUUCUACUUGAUUGAUCAAUCUACAAUCGUACUUAUUAAUUCGACAACCAAAUGGGCAAAUCUUAUUUGAAGCAAAAUUAGUGGUAGAAAAACAAGAAAAGGAUUUACCUUUCAAGCAAGAAAGAUACAGAUCAAGAACACAAUACGCGAUGAUUCGAUUCAAUCAUAAAAAGGAAGCACAGAUCAUGAGAAGGGUUUAAGAAAUUUGGUGAGGGAAAUUAGGAAUUCAAUGGUAUACUGAGAGAGAGAUCUCUUAGUGGAAGACUAGCUAUUAAAGUCAUUGCAAUAGAAAUUGGCAGGAAGCUAGAACUUUAUGUCACUUUCUGCUUGGGCUUUCAUUGUCCUAUAUGCAAACUUAAUGCCACUUUAUGCUUUAAUUGUUCACACUAACUAUUCAACGUGUUCCCAUGACACUGCUUCAAAUCCUUGAGUCUACUGUUGUUAGAUGCUAUAACAACAGUGUUAUGUACUUUUUGUAAUUAAAAAGGCAUAACAAUUAAUGAAGAUCGAAACUCCAAAGAAAAUCACUUGGCUAGAAAUAACAGUACUCCUCGGGUCAGCUGCUAGCAUUAAACAUAAUAUAAUUUAUAUUAUUUUUUAUAGAAACUCUUCUUAGGAAAAUUACGCAUUUCCUAUAUAAGCAAAGGGAACAAUCCUAUUUUGUUGUUUUAAUUUAAUCAGUACUGCAAACUUAUUUUUAGUCUGUCAGUAACAGCUGAUCUCGUGAAGGAAAGCACAGGCAAUUAAUUGAUUAACAUGAAGGAGGACUAGAUAAUUACCCGUUUACUCUAAAGAAAUAAAACAAUAGGGCAAAUCGGUUUGCUUUCUCUGUCCUAUUAUCCUAUAUGCAAUUAUCACUCUAUUUUCUGGAAACCGCCAUGCAAAUUCUCUUGUGCUUUCAUUGUCCAAUAUGCAAUUAUUACUUCCACUUUAUUUGUUCAAAUAUGUAAUUAUUACUCCCACUGCCCAUACAAAUUUUAUGUCACUUUCAUGAAUCACCUGCUUUAUUUAUUUACACUAACUAUUCAACUUGUUUACGUACAUUAUACUGUUUCAAUCAUUGAGUCAACUGUUAGAUGCUAGAACAUUCAUGUAUUAUUUUAAUACAAAAAACCAGAGUCGCGAGAACAAUAGAUGAAGAUAGAAACUCCAAAGAAAAUCAAUUAGCCAGAAAUAUAUGCUUGUAAGAGGGGCUCGGGCCAGCAGCUAGCAUGGAUCGUAAGUUUUGACAUGGAGUCGGAACUACAUGCUUGUAAGAGUGGGCUCUGUCAUUGCUUCCCAUCUGGCACAGUUACCCCUUAGGCUUUUGCACCGGAUCUACGGAGUGAAAAAUAUACUCAGAUGAUCAAUGUCAGUUGUUAUAUGAGAUCUGGUUCUUGUAAAAGCUAAAAUAAGAUCAAAUCUUUAAAUCUUAAUUGGUCAUUCACCAUUUUUGUUAUGGUUUCGUGGUUUGAGAUUAUUGGCAAAGCAAGUUGCUUUGCAACGUGUAGGCGUGAGUCAAAGCAAGUUGCUUUUCACCUUUAAUUUUGCUUUUUUGAAAAAAACUAUAAAACCAACCCCAAUUUCGCUAGCUUUGAAAAAGGCUCAUCGAAAAAGGAAGCACGAGAAUAUAAGAGUGAAAAUUCUAAAUACUCGCCUAUCAAGCUAACCUACCCUGAGUUUUCAGGAUUGCCUUCUGAACAAGGAUUCUAAAAAUGAGGAAAAGGAAGCUAUGAUUUCAAUUAAGUGUUUAAUGUUGAAAACUUAGCAAUAUAAUCUUUAUUUAAUUGUUAGAUUUAAUUAAUUUUGUGUCAAAAAGAUAAAAAAUUUUGGGUUAUUGUAUGUGUUUUUGCACAAGUGAUCGCUGGUCAGAGACGUCUGAAUCUCAGAAUUUGGAGGAAGUGAUAGCCUAAUAGCCAUGAUCAAUAAGCACAAGUUUUGAGCAAAUAUUAGCUUCUCGUUGGGAAUUAAUAGCGUUACAUAAACAAAAGCAAAGUAGCAUUUAAUUACAAUAUCAGAAUAGAAAAAACAAAAAAACAAAAAACAUAAACAUAAAAUAAAUAUAUAUUUUACUAUAGGUUUUUAAUAAAUUUCUAUAUUUUUAAAAUAGAAAAUACAAGAAAAUAUAUUCCUUCAAUCUUCACAUCUUUUUCUAUUGUGAGACAGUAACCAACCAUUAGCCAAGAAAUUCCCUUUUUUCUUCCAUGAUGAAGAGAUAAGAAGAAGAAGCACAGAUCAGAGAAGAGUAUAGGUUAAGCUAGUUCAUUGUGAUGAGAUGUGUAAAGGAAAAUAGUUGUGUUGUUUGACAAGAAUGCAGUUGCUGGGAAGGAAGGAAGGAACAACCUUACUGAUAGUUCAUAGUUCCUUUUAAUUUUAUUUUAUAUAAUUAAAAACUUCAACAAAAGAAGGAGAAGCCAAUUAUUGAACUUGAGUGAGUUAACGUGUGGACCCACGCCCACAGCAACGGGACAGUUAACUUUACUAAUGAAGUUGACCUGUCUGUGAGUCGAUUGAAUCAGAAAAACGAUGCAAACACUGCACCAUUCUAUUAGUGUAAGCAUGAUAUUCGUCGAGAAAAUUAUUACCGACAGUUUUACCGAUAAAAUCUGUCCGUCGAUAUACUAAUUGUUUGUAAUUUUUCAUUCCGCCAUUAAUUCUGUUGAAAAUAAAAAAACUAACCAUCAAUAAAAUACCGAUACUCUUACAGACAGCCACGAACGGAAAAAAAAUUUGAACCAUUGUAUCUGGUUCUUGUAUUGUUCCUGCAUCUCCUGCCACAUUGACCCACCAGAUUUGUCGUUUCGAUCGCAUUUCUGAGAAGAGCUAGCUCCUGCAACAGGCUGCAGGGGUCACUUCAUGAUCUUUCCUCUUUUUUGCGUUGCCUUGUAAAAUGAACUCUUUUUUAUUUUUAUAAUUAAUUUGUGUCAAGUUAUUAAAAAUAUAUUUUAAUAUGAUAUGAAAAAUAUAAUAUAAAUUUAGAUUAUAAAUUUAAAUAAUAAAAUUAUAAGUAAUUUUUUAAUUUGUGUCAAGUAAUUUUUUAACUAAUUAUAUAUUGAUAAUUUUAAUUAAAAAAAUAAAUUAUAAUAAAAUAAAUAACAAUAUUAUAAUUAAUGAAUAAUUUAAAUAAAAUAAAACGGCUAGAAUUGCUUUACAUGGCAGAUGGAGGGCUCACAAGGCUGGAGCUAAGAAGUUGACACAUGGACUUCUCUUUAAUUAAACUCAACGUUUCACCUACAGAGUCAAGUUAGCCAGAAUCGGAGUGAGAUGAUAGAUGAAGAUUUACCAAGGAGAUUGAGGUAAGGUUUGUACAGGUUAAAUAUAUUCUUUAGCUUGGAGAAGGGAUAUGCUUUCUUGCAAAUACUUCCUUAGCAAGUCAGUCAACCAAUGUUUUUCUAUUCAUAUGCUUUACUUUUUGUCUAAUUGCUUCAUGUUUUUUUGCAUUUGUUUAUGUAUACUUGUCGCUUGGUAUCAUAUUUUUCUUUUGUUUUACUCUCCUCAUAUUUUUUUUUUAAUGAAACUAAUCACGGUUCGGGAUUUAUAACUGGUCCUCCCAAUAAAUAUUAAAAUCUAGUUAGCUGUAUUUUUUUAAAUGUAUUAAAAUAAAUUUUUUAAAAAUAAAAUAAUUUUUUUAUUUUAAAUUAAUUUUUUUAUAUGUUUUCAAAUUAUUUUGAUAUAUUAAUAUUAAAAUCAUUUAAAAAAAUAUUAUUUUAAUAUAUUUUAAAAAAAUACAAUUAAUAUAGUUAUACUUUCAUAAUCUAGUUAAUUUUUAAUAUAGUUAAUCUAGCUAUAUUUUAUCAGUAAAACUGUACUAGUGUUCUAAAAAGAUUCAUUGAGUUGUAAUAUUGGGUAAAAAAAACAAAUAUUUUUUAAUUAUUUUUUCACGAGGACCAAUUAAAAAAACUGAUUUAUGAAUGGGUAUAAUGGAAAUAUAAUUAAAAGUAAGCUUCUUUUUUUUUGGCUUCAUAUAAAUUUUAGUGCUAAAGAUUAUGAAAUACACACGCGUACAUAUUAAAAAAAAAAAAAAGAUAUACAACUGAAUCCAAGCCUUGUUUUGGCUUUAUAAAAACUUUUAACAUAUUGCGAUAUAUAAAGAGAUAGAAAGAGAGAAGCCUAGAAAAACAAGCAUCGAACACCACUCAGCUAUAGAAAAUCCUUUAAAUACUGGUGGAUCAUCACGACUUCCUGUAAUGAAAACACUUAAUUAAAUAAUAUGCAAAAAUUACCAUCUUGAUGAUUUAUAACCGCAUGCUGUGUUGCUUGGAAGAAUCAAUUAGCAAUGAAGAACAGAUUGGUAAAGAAAAAAAAGGAUUUAUUAAUUAAUCAACCUGCAAAAAGCGGUUCUCCAAACAUAUAUAUUAUGUCAAUCAGCAAGGAACACGGAGCUGAGAGAGAAGAAAAAGGUAGAGAGGGAAAGGAAAUGAAUUAAUUAAUGGUAGUACAGAGAGUGUUAAAGAGAGAAGAAUGCUCGCUUAAGCGAUCAGAAACGAAUAAAAAACUAAUAGCACAGAGGGAAGAAUGGCCCAAGAAAACAUUUACAAUAGAGGCGAAUAAAUCUUCUUCUUCUUCCUUUUCUUUUCAAACAUUAGUCAACAUUAGUCAAUCACGUUAACGCGUCGUAUAGCAAAAGCAAAAGAAUUCGAUGGGUUGGUAUUGUUGAGCAACUGUGGAUGAAAGGCACUCUCUUAAAGCUCUAAAAUUGAAAUUAUUGUUGUAAAUUGUAAUUGAAAAAAAAUAUUUUAACAAUAUUUUAAAAAAUUCUUGAACAACUAAUUUGUUCUAAAAAUAACAUACUAAACUAUUUACAUAUUAACAAGACCGACCUAACUAAUUAAAAAAUAAAAAAUGAAAUUGAAAAACAACUUCUAGAUUUAAUCUGCACAGUAAUCUGAACUUUCGUCGAGUUUUUUAAAUUUCAUUAUAACCUAACUAUGGAUUAAAAAUUAUAUUUAUUCUUGUAGCACAAACACUUUUUAAUACAUUCCAGGAACAAGCUGUUGAACAUUCCAUGUCAAUAACCCAGUUGUAGUUGAAACUUUGAAAACAGGGAGGUAAUUAUAUAAUUUAGAAUGCCUGUGGAAAUGCACAAAGUAACCCAGAGUAAUGGGUGUUUUAUGAAAAUAUUUUUUUUUUUUUUAAAUUUAUUUUUGAUAUUAUUACAUUAAAAUAAACAGAAUUAAUUUAAAAUAAAAAUAAAUAAUCGCUCCGAGCAUUCAGCCUUGAAAUCGUUACGCUCAGAUUUCCAUGGUUAAACAUGAGCAAGAGAGCUUCUUCAUGCACAGCCAACUUAGGGUAAACUCUGCUGGUGAUUCCAAAACUUCCAUGGGGAUUUAUCAACCUCAUCUUGCAGAGUUGAUCUGCAAUCAGAUACUAAUUACGGUGUUAGUUCAAAUUAUUUGAUAUUUAGGGCUUCUUCUACAUUUGGAUUUGUGAAAAGGUACAAGGUCAAAGCAGCAAUCACUGCAUAUAAGUAUUUGCAUAUCCUUUUCUUCCUGCAAAUAUCCUAAAAAAAUCGAGUUUGUUCUGUCAAAUCCGCCAUUGUUUUUGGGGGUGUUUAAGAGAGAGUUUUAACUAUAUUUUUUUAACCUUAUAAAUGUCGUUUUGUGAUCUAUUUAAGUAAUUAUAAACUUUUAAAGUAAUUAGUUAGCAAUGAACGAAUGACCUUUAUCCUCACCAUGAAGGUUUUUUAAGAGGGGUGGAAUGUAGCAAGCUAGGGUUCUAGCAUGGAAAUGGGUCUGCAAAACAAAAUUGAAAGAGGAAUUGGGAAAGAAGGCUGUUGAUCGGGUUGAGGCUGAGAGGGGUGUUAAUUCAGAGUUUCUCUAAGGGACGGUUAGGAUUGCUUUACAUGGCAGAUGGAUGGCUCACAAGGAAAGACCGAGUCAAGCUAACCAAAAUCUAAGACUAGAUGUCAGAACAAACGGCAGGCAUUAUGUAUUGAGUUUUCAAAUUACUCCCUACUAAUACCACUAAUUAUAUUUUUUGAGUAUAAUAAAGUUACUCUGACUUUGGUUUUGACUCUGGGUUUCAGUAAGGUUUUGUUUUGUUGGCCAGAUAAUAAUGGAGCAAGCCCAAUACAAGAAGGCAUAUCAAUCCAACAAAAAAUUAGUUUAGUUUUGUUUUGUUGGGCCAACAAAAAACCUUGCCCAAUAAACACAACGGUAAAAAUGCCACCGAUUUUGCGAUUAUUUACUUUACAACAACUGUAUAGAUCUUCACUCGGCUGGGUUAGUUUUCCUUGGGUGUUUUUAGCGUUGUCGGCUCGUAUGGAAUGCUAAAAAGGCCAAUCAAAUAUUCAAAUUCAAUGAGUAUCUUGUUGGAUUGAUAUAGUGAAAGCGACUUGAUAUAGUGAAUGCUCGUUUUAUUAGAGGAUUAUUGUUUUGUUUUUUGAUUUCUUAUUAGGUUAAGUUGUUGAUAUAGAGUAUGAGUGGUGCUCCUGCUAAAAGAUCGCAUGAAGAGGGCUGUCAUUCUUCUUCUUUGAAAUUCCCUCCUCAUGAAGAUACAGGGUUCGUAUUCUAAGCUGACAUCAGGGGUUUCAAAUGAGUACCAUCUACCAUAUGAGAUGGGUCCGGAUGUUAGGGUGGCUAAGAUUCCCAGAACUGAAUCUCGAGAUGUAGAUAGAAGAUCACCUUUGCAUUCGAUGUAUCGAAUGCUACCAUCUUCAAAUGAAUCACACGUGGAUUCUCAUUUGAAUGUUGCUCCUGAAAGCAGGCCUGAAUCAAGGGAUUCCAAGGACAGCAGAGACUACCGGAUUGAAAACCGUGACCCAAGGACUGAUGCAACAGAGGUGUAUGGAGAGGCAAGGAGGGAUUCACAAAGUGUUAAAAAUGAAAAGGAUGUGAGGUUUGAGAGUAGAGGGGAUGACAAUAAGGAAGUAAAGCAUGACAGAGAAGCUCAUAUUGAGCCGAAGAAUGACAUGAAGAUAGAAAAGGAUGGUUUUGGUGCUGCAAGUAGUCAGGUGAAUUGGAAGGAACCAAAAGAAUACCAUAGGGGAAAGAGAUAUUUGGAAUCUGCAGGUGGACAUGUGGAUCCUUGGCAUAUAUCACGUGGAAAUUCCCAAGGCCUGUUGAGAUUGGAAAGGAAGUUGUCAGUAUUGAGGAGAGGGAUCAUGCCAAAGUUCAUGAGGCAGUUGGAGAAAAUAAAGUUGAAUUGAAAGGUGAGGAUAGAUUUAAAGACAAGGAUAGGAAGAGGAAAGAUUUGAAGCACCGGGAAUGGGGAGACAGAGACAAGGAAAUAAGUGACUGAAGGGGAAGUAUGCAAGUAGGCAACAGUAGUGCUGAAGGAAACGAGUUGGUGAAGGAAGAGAGAGAAGGAGAGAGGUGGGAGUGGGAGAGGAAGGAUCUGUCAAAAGACAGGGAAAGGUUAAAAGAGAGGGAGAAGGACCACAUGAAAAUAGAAUCAGGAACUGGAGCUGAAAAGGAGGGUUUGCACAGUGAAAAGGAGUCUUUGGAUGGAUCUUUGAAAUUGCAACUGAAAGGGAAAGAGGAGUUUUUAACUGUGGAGUCCAGCAGCGCAAGAGGAUGCUUCGGCCUAGGGGCAGCCCGCAAGUGGCAAAUUGUGAACCCCGUUUUAGGUCCCAUACUCAAGACUCUGAGGGGUAUGUUCUUCAAUUCUUCUUAAUUGCUGUUUUAAUUGGAAGUAUGUUAUCCUUAUGAUUGAUUUUGGAUAUUGACAAUUACCGUGUGGAAAACUUGCUUUAAAUAUUUGAUAUGAAAGUGGAAACUGCUAUUAUUGGAGCUAAGUCCUGAGAUUUAUCCUACAAUGAUAGUUUCUAAAGAUAAAAUACUUUAUUGUUGCUGAACCUUUAACCAAAUUUUCCAUUGUCAUGAAUUCUUUAGCAUGUUUGUUCUCUUAGAUUGGUUAAAUUGAGCAUCAUUCCAACUUUAAUAAUUCAAGAGUAAACUAUAGUCUAAAUUCAUCCUAACCAAGCUCCUUUAUAUCUUGCAGAUGUCAAGGUAAGCUGCCAUUUCCAUUUUACGAAGCUGGAAAUUUAUUCGUGUGCUAUGUCUAAUGGGUUGCAUGAAGGGAUCUCCUUCAGAGUACUGAUUGGAAUGCUUAAACUGAAAUUAUUAGCUAUCACUGCUUAAUUAGAUUAUUAUUUAAUUCUUCUUUUCCACUCUCCUAAGCAUUGGAUAUGCCGAAUGAGGUUAGCUUCAUAUUCCCUUUUCCCUUUCUUUUCUUCAUUGUCUGUAUAAUAUUUUCUGAGCUUCUAUUAAUUGGUAGUUUCUUGCCUUUUAGGUUUCUUUUGUCAUAACAAAUGUGUAGAUUGUCAACAUUCGUGUCUCUGUGUCAUAAAUUACUCUAUUAGUAAACAUAUUAGAGCUGCUUGAUGGAUAAAAUAAAACUUGAUAACAUCGUAGUUCACAAGUUCUUGAUUUUCUUUUAUGGUAUUGAAUUUACCUUCUGGUGCUCCAGGCAAAUCUGAGGUAUCUUCUGUCAUUUAUAAGUAAGUGAAUGCAUGCAAGAGCUGAUAAAAUUAUGGAAGGAGUAUGAAACAUCUCAAUCUGAUAAAAAUAGUGAAAGCAGUCAAAAGGCCCACUCUGAAAUUCGAAUACCAGCUAACAUAUUACUGCUACAAAUCGCCAAGUAGAGCAUGCUGGUGUUUGUAAUAAUUUGACACUUUGCUUGUUUUAUCAUAUAAUUUCUUCUCUCAUGUGUCUUUUUUUCUUUCCUUUUUUAAUGUUUUCUUAAACUAUCUUGAAUGUAUAUCUCUUGGCUCAUGGGCUUGCACAAAUGCUAAGGGGGUCAGAGGUGAGGAUAGUUAUUGAUAUCUCUUGAGCUGUGGACUCCCCAUUACGUCAUCUGAUUGUUGUUUGUUUGACCAUGCCUUUCUAUCUUACCACAAGAUAUUGAUUCUUCUGUGUGGAGCUUGUGGGAAAUUCUAAUGCAUUGGGUCAGAACUUUUAAUUGCCAGUAUUAUCCAAGGAUGAUUACAUACUGCAUGCUUCUAAAAAAAAAAAAAAAUGCUAAGUUAUUAAACCUAAAAUGUAUCAGCUCAUUUAAUUUAUUAGUUCCAAGUCAUUCAAAGACUCAGAAGUUUAAAAGGUUGAAAAAAUUCAAUAUUGCUAUUUUGAUCAUUGUAAUGACACAAGAAUUAUAAUACUUAAAGCUAUCAUCUAACUACUGAAACCAGAUUCUCCUGGGUUAAUAAAAAGUAAUAAUUCUUCUAAUAUGAAAAUUGCUGUUGUCACUUCCCUUUCUAUUAUGAAAAUUUAAUUUUUAAUUGGUUUAAGUUUGAUUUACCAAAGGUUUGUCGUUCAUGAACUCUAUCCGUUGAAAUAAAUUACUAUUUUUAAUUUCUUGUUUUAGUUGCUUGUAAUAUUCAAUGAAUUGAAAUAUUUGAAUUGUGAAUAGUAAGGUUCUAACAACCAAUGGAAUUUCCAUUAGCUUCCUUAAAAAGUUUCAAACCUUUCCACAUUGUCUGAAUAAGGGUUUCUUCAUAGUCUGAUUCUUAUUAGUUUGAUUACGUGAAUUUAACUAGCCUUUAUCUAAAAGUUUUGGAAGGUUUAGAAUUGAAUGAUGAGAUCGGUUGUGUGGGGUUUGGUUCCUUCUAUAUGUUUAUGUGUGUUUUGUGUCCAAACCGAAUUUUUGAAAGAAAUGGAAGUUCUUAAAUAUUUAAGGUCAAUUUUGUUGGUAGAUAAGUUCUAUGAUAUGUGGGUGCCUUUUAUGUUCUGAUGUGUACAAAUUUUUACUGUGAAUCGUCAGAUGGUCAACUUUCAUUAGAAGAGAAGAAACCUCUAUAAGAGCAAUUAUGUGACAUGCUAGCUCUAAUAUUACAGGAUUUCUGCUCUGCAUAGUUUGAUGUCUUCAUGUUUGGAUAUUAACUAUUAGAUAAGUAUGCCCAUGCUAAGUCUUUAAGUUUAUAAGUGCAGGUAAGAGGUGGACAAUUAUGGGGGACAGAUAUAUAUACAAAUGACUCUGAUCUUGUCGCUGGUAUGCUGUGAUAUGAUGAACAGUAACAAUUGUAGAAAUUUUUUAUAUGUGAGCUGAAACAAUAUUGAUGUUGCAAUUUGUUGCAGUUCUCAUGCAUACAGGCUACUUCCGUCCCACUGCUUCUCCUCCUCCACCUUCCAUCCAAGAGUUAUGUGCUACUAUAAGAGUGUUGCCUUCACAAGAUAGUAAGCCCCUUCUAUGUCGCUCUCUUUAUGAUGCAUCUUGACAACACUACCACCAUCAAUUCUUUCCAAUAAGCAGACAUUUUUUAGUCUAUCAAGAAUUGAGUGGCCAUUGUCAAGUGCUGCUUGCCUGCUCAUUUCCUUAAUUGUCCCCUCCUUGAUAAAAGACUCUAUAAACACCCUCUUUUCAAUCUUAUGACGUUCAUUAAAUAAUGCACAAUAUAUAAAACAUUGUUGUACUGAAUCAUCUAAACAAUCAUAACUCAAUCUUAAUAUCUAGAACAUAUGAUCUUCCAUGUCCCAAAAAUUUGAUUCUUUCAAUCUCUUUAAUGUAAUCCUCCACUUAUGUAGGUCAUCCACUCCCUUUAAACUUUCUGUUAAUGUAACAAUUCGCAAUGGCAAACAAGCAUCUACAGCAAUUCAUUCCACUUAUGGAAAAAGUGGUCUGUUAGAUGAUUUGUGGAACUCUUUUGAGCCACAAGAAGUGGAGAUUCCUAUCCCAUUGAAAGGAUCGAAGCUCAUUAUGACAACUCGAUCAGAAAUGGUUUGUCGGUAGAUGAAUAGCCGAAACAACAUAAGAGUGGAUACUCUUUCUGAUGAAGAAUCCUGGACUUUGUUCACGGAGAAGGUUGGACAUAACAUACCACUUUCUCCAUAAGUGGAAUGAAUUGCUGUAGAUGCUGCAAGGGAAUGUGCCAUUGCGAAUUGUUACAUUAACAGAAAGUUUGAAGGGAGUGGAUGACCUACAUGUUAGGAAAUGAAGUAUUCCUGUAUAUAGAAUAGCAGAGUUGUAUAAAAUAGAAGAUAUGUAUUAAUUCACUUUCCAUAUGUAAUUCCUAACGUGUAGCUGAUGAAGCUACAAUGCAGCAACUGAUUCCUGACUUGUAGGAAUCAGUUGCAGCCUCCUUCUGUAUAAGAAUAUGAUUCAGAAUCAAAUACAAUCACUUCCGCAAAUUCAAUCUUUCUCUUCAUUCUUUUCAUGGUAUCAGAGCUGGCUUAGAAUCCCGAUCCUUCAUUGCAAUUAAAUCUCUAGCCUAGCAAUUUUUCUUUAGUCACCAUGGCCAACAAUGAAAUAUCAUCAGAUCUAGAAACUCAUACAGAUUUUUCAAAAGGGACUCUGUCAAAUCCCUAUUUCACUCACCAUUCAGAUCAUCCAGGUUUGGUUUUGAUUUCCAAACCCUUGAAUGGAGACAACUAUUCUACUUGGAAAAGGGCUAUGACCCUGGCGUUGAAUUCUAAAAACAAACUCAGCUUUGUUAAUGGCUCAAUAAAAGCCCCUUCAGAAGAAACUGAUCCUGAAGGAUAUGCGGCUUGGUCUCGAUGCAAUGAUAUGGUCCAUUCAUGGAUUAUUAACACUCUCAAUCCAGAAAUUUCGGAUAGCGUGAUAUGCUACUCUACUGCUCAUGAAGUUUGGGAAGACCUUCAUGAUCGAUUUUCUCAAAGCAAUGCACCCCGUAUGUUUGAAAUUCAGCGAUAUAUCGCUUGUUUCAGGCAGGAACAACUCUCUGUUUCAAUUUAUUACACAAAAUUGAAGGGACUGUGGGAUGAACUGGCUUCCUACAGUGAAUCAUUACAUGGGGCGCAACAGGAUCAACAAAGAUUAAUGCAAUUUUUGAUGGGUUUAAAUGAGUCUUACAGUGCUGUUCGUGGACAAGUCCUCUUGAUGAAUCCCCUUCCUUCGGUUCGGCAAGCUUAUUCCUUUGUCUCUCAAGAAGAAAAGCAACGUCUUCUAAGUUCAACACACACCAUCAAUGAUUCAGUCAACAACGCAGCUAUGGCGGUUCAAGGCAAUCACAACAAAUUUAAUGACAGAGGUGAGCGUUCUUACCAUUCUUUUAGAUCGCAAGAUAGAUUGACAGAUAAUAUCAAUGGAGGGCGCAGAUCUGAACAGCAAGACAGAGAUCAUUUCAGUGGACGCCGGUUUGAACAGGACAGACGACGUUUUGGACCUCGACGGGGACGACCUCAUUGUUCCCACUGUGGAGAACCGGGACAUUGGGUCCAAACCUGUUAUGAGCUCCACGGGUAUCCAGCAGGGCACCCCAAGGCAAAGCACAAUUCAGCAAGAAGAUUUAACCACAGCAACAAAUCGAAGACAAUUUUUAAUGGCAAGCCUGCAGCCAACCAUGUGUCGGAGAAUUUUGCUAAAGAUAAUGGCAAGUCUGUUGUGGGCAUUUUGGAGGCACAAUUGAAACAACUCUUAUCUUUGCUUAAUGAUAAAGGAGCCGAAUCCAGUUCUCAAGCCAAUGCUGUGACAAAACCAGGUUUGCCUAAAAUUGCUUCACGCAAUUGGAUUAUUGACAGCGGGGCAACAGACCAUAUUUCUUCAUCAUCUCAAUUAUUUUUUCCACAAGAUAAUAAUUGCACAUUGCCUCCUGUAUUACUGCCUAGUGGGGAAACAGCCGAUAUUGUUAAAAAGGGAUCAUUGCCUCUGAAUUCAACUUAUUAUUUGCAUGAUGUGCUAUGUGUACCCACAUUUAAAGUUGACUUGAUGUCAGUCAGUCGUUUGACAAGAGGAUUGAAUUGUUCGGUAACUUUUUUCCCUUAUUGGUGUAUUUUGCAGGAUCUGGCUACGAGGAGGAUGAUUGGUUUGGGUAAACAACGUGAUGGGCUAUACUACUUGGUGGCAAUUGCGACGAAGAAACCUGUGGUACGACCUACCCCACCAAUACAUCGACCAGCCUGUAACCUGGCCAUCUCAUCUACCGAUCUCUGGCAUCAACGCUUAGGCCAUAUUUCCCCUCAUCGUUUGAGUUUCAUUGCCCAACAAUUUUUAAAUUUUUCUGUUCAAUCCAGUCAUGUUUGUUCUAUUUGUCCUUUGGCUAAGCAAAGUCGCUUGCCUUUCAAUUCUAGUGUCAUUUCAUCUAUAAAACCUUUUGAAAUAAUUCAUUGUGACAUUUGGGGUCGUUAUCGACAUCCUUCCAUUUCUGGUGCUUAUUAUUUCCUUACUAUCGUUGAUGAUUAUACCCGUUUCACAUGGAUAUUUUUGAUGCGACACAAAUCUGAAGCUCAAUCUCUUAUCAAACGCUUCUUCAGUUAUGUUCUCACACAAUUUGAAUCUUCAAUUAAAAUUUUCCGAAGUGAUAAUGGUGGUGAAUUUAUAUCACUUCGUUCCUUUUUUCAAGAUAAUGGUGUUAUUUUUCAGCAUUCCUGUGUUUACACGCCUCAACAAAAUGGGGUUGUGGAACGCAAACAUCGUCAUAUUUUACAAGUUGCUCGAGCUUUGAAAUUUCAAGCUCAACUUCCAACCCAGUUUUGGGGAGACUGUGCUCUCACUGCUGUUCACAUCAUCAAUCGACUCCCUUCCUCCGUACUCUCCUUCAAAACUCCAUUUGAACUUCUCUACUCAAAGCCACCUUCUUUUUCUCAUAUUCGGGUUUUUGGUUGCUUGGCUUAUGCUACAAAUGUACGUCCUGCUCACAAAUUUGAUUUUCGCUCCAUGCCCUCAAUUUUUAUUGGUUAUCCUGUUGGUCAAAAGGCUUAUAAACUAUUUGAUUUAUCUUCUAAAAAAAUUUUCACUAGUCGCGAUGUGCGAUUUCAUGAAAAUAUUUUUCCUUAUGCCUCGGUCAAACCCGAUUUCCUUCCACCUCCACCCGUUGAAUUUGGUCCUAUUCCCCUGUUAAAUCCUGCCACAACUUCUCUUUAUUCCAUUCCCCACACUUCUCCUCCUAUUACUUUACCUGCAACUUCAUGUUCCCCCCACCCGCCCCCACAAAUUCCCCAUCAACCCAACAUCCACCCAUCCUUCGCACCUAUACCCGUCGCCCCAGACCCUCUGACCCAAUCCCUCCAGCUGCCCCAUCUCCAUCAUGCACUUCCCCAACUCUUUUGCCAUUAUCUCCUGCUGUUGAAAAUCCACAGCCACCCGAACCCACCCCACUUCGUCGCUCCAGUCGCCAUACUGCUCCACCCGCUAGGCUCAAUGAUUUUAUCUGCUCCACUGUUUCCUCCAACCAAUCAGCCACCUUGUUGCCAGGUCCAACCAAAGGUACGCGUUAUCCCAUGGCAAACUUUGUCUCAUAUCAUCGUUACACUCCUGCAUAUCAUGCUUAUGUUGCUCAACUCAGCACCGUUCCAGAGCCUAAGUCUUAUGCAGAGGCUGUUGUACAUCCUGAGUGGCAGCAGGCCAUGCGCACCGAACUGAAUGCUCUUGAAACUAAUGGCACCUGGUCUCUCACGACACUUCCAUCAGGCAAGAAGCCGAUUGGCUGCAGAUGGGUUUACAAAGUUAAACACCAUUCAGAUGGUUCUGUCGAGCGCUACAAAGCUCGUUUAGUUGCCCAAGGCUUCACUCAAAUGCAAGGGGUCGACUACCAUGAUACCUUUUCUCCUACUGCAAAAAUAAUCUCUGUUCGUUGUUUACUUGCUUUAACAGCAGCUCACGGUUGGUCCCUGCACCAGAUGGACGUCCACAAUGCGUUCCUUCAUGGCAGCUUAGAUGAGGAGAUAUACAUGUCUCUGCCACCAGGUCUUCGGCGCCAGGGGGAGGAUCAUCUAGUUUGUCGCCUCCACAAGUCACUUUACGGUUUAAAGCAGGCAUCCCGCCAGUGGUUUGCCAAAUUUUUCGAAGCUAUGCAUUCUGCUGGUUUUAUACAAUCAAGAGCAGAUUAUUCUCUAUUCACCAAGAAGCAGGGUAUGUCUUUUACUAUCCUCUUGAUAUACGUUGAUGAUAUAUUGAUCACUGGAAAUGAUCCGGGUAACAUUGCUGCAACUAAACAAUUCCUGCAUACACAUUUUCAUAUCAAAGAUCUUGGUGACUUAAAGUACUUUCUUGGAAUUGAGGUGUCUACUUCAAAGAAUGGAAUUUUUAUUUCACAACGUAAGUAUGCACUGGAAGUCAUUGAGGAUGCAGGUUUGUCAGGUGCUGCUCCUAUUAAUACUCCUAUGGAACGAGGCUUAAAAUUGUCGGACAAGGGCAACCUGCUCAAGGAUACAAACCGAUAUAGAAGAUUGGUGGGUCGGUUGAUUUAUUUGACUGUAUCUAGACCGGACAUAACAUAUGCUGUACAUGUCUUAAGUAGAUUUAUGCAGCAGCCCCGAAAACUUCAUAUGGAAGCAGCUCUUCGAGUUGUUCGAUAUCUAAAAGGAGCACCCGGCAGAGGCCUAUUUUUCUCUUCCAAGAGUGACUUAAGGUUGAGAGCUUAUUGUGACUCAGAUUGGGCUGGUUGUCCGCUCACUAGGAGAUCUACAACGGGCUAUUGUGUUUUUCUUGGACCUUCACUGAUAUCCUGGAGGUCGAAGCGGCAGAAAACGGUUUCGCUUUCUUCUGCUGAAGCAGAAUACCGAGCAAUGACAGGAGCCUGUUGUGAGUUGACAUGGUUGCGAUGUCUACUAAAAGACUUGGGAAUUUCACACCAUGAAUCUGCCUUACUAUAUUGUGACAAUAAAGCUGCGUUACAUAUUGCAGUCAAUCCAGUGUUUCAUGAGAGAACUAGGCACAUUGAAAUGGACUGUCAUUACAUCCGCGACAAGAUUCAAGAUGGUUCUAUCACUACAAAGCAUGUCGAUUCUGCACAUCAACUAGCAGAUGUCUUGACUAAGCCCUUGGGAAAAGAGAUCUUUGUUCCUAUGGUUCGCAAGUUAGGAGUGCAGGAUAUCCACUCUCCAACUUGAUGGGGAGUGUUAGGAAAUGAAGUAUUCCUGUAUAUAGAAUAGCAGAGUUGUAUAAAAUAGAAGAUAUGUAUUAAUUCACUUUCCAUAUGUAAUUCCUAACGUGUAGCUGAUGAAGCUACAAUGCAGCAACUGAUUCCUGACUUGUAGGAAUCAGUUGCAGCCUCCUUCUGUAUAAGAAUAUGAUUCAGAAUCAAAUAUAAUCACUUCCGCAAAUUCAAUCUUUCUCUUCAUUCUUUUCACUACAUGAGUGGAGGAUUACAUUGAAGAGAUUGAAAGAAUCAAAUUUGUGGAACAUGAAAGAUCAGAUGUUCCAGAUAUUAAGAUUGAGUUAUGAUUGUUUAGAUGAUUCAGUACAACAAUGUUUUGUAUAUUGUGCAUUAUUUGAUGAACAUCAUAAGAUUGAAAAUGGAGUGUUUAUAGAGUCUUUUAUCAAGGAAGGGACAAUUAAGGAAAUGAGCAGGCAAACAACACUUGACAAUGGCCACUCAAUUCUUGAUAGACUAGAAAAUGUUUGCUUAUUGGAAAGAAUUGAUGGUGGUAGUGUUGUAAAGAUGCAUAAGUUGCUUAGGGACAUGGUCAUCCAAAUACUAGAUGAGUACUCUCUAGUCAUGGUAAAUUUUACUUUCUAUCAUCCUUUUUUUUUGUUUUGUUUUGUUUUUCUGUAGUUUAACCUCUAAUUUUGUUUCUUAACGUAUUUGUUUUUAUUCUUCUAAAUCAAAGUGCUUUUUGGUUAUAUUAACAUCAAUGACCAAGUUGUAGAAUUUGUAGGCAAGAUUCUAUAUUGAUCAGGUAGAACUUAUUUAUUUAUAUUGUUUAAUGAAUCACAUAACUCAACUCAUAUUAUAGUUUUUUUUACUUCGUUGUUAUCUUCAACUACUUAUCUUUAAAACAAGGAGAAUUUUUUUAAAAUCUUUAUUUUAGAUUACUUGGCAGGUUAUUUUUUCUGAAAAUUACUUCAAAAUCAAUGUUUAUUUGUAUUUGCAGGGCUAAAGAAGUAGAAGAGGAUGAAAUCAGGACAGACUUUGCUGAUGACAAACUUAAUUAUAGAGAUUUCAUCUGUAGGUUUUUUUAUCAACUGGGUUAUGCAUUGUAUAUGGAUAUGCUCAUCAGAAGAAAGAUAAUCCAAUCAAGAUGUGUCAUUUUCUUAUUGUUUAUGUGUGCCUAUUCAUAAGCAUUUCUUGCACUCUUUUGCCUAAAAAAGAGAGCAAGACAACCAAAUUCUCUUGAUUUAAAAUAACCAGUAAAAGAACUAGAUUAUAUUUCAUAUUAAGUCUUCAACUCUAAAACUAUUGAUGAUGAUCACCAGAUAAUAAGUCAUGUUCACUUUUUUUUAGCUCAAAAGUCCUUAGACAAUCCAGCGUGUAAAAACAUACAACAUGCUCUUUUCAAAAAUUUCGUUUUAAUAUGUUUUGCAACCAUAUUUUGUUGUGUUGUAUACUUGACAGUGCGAUGUCUAGCAAUUCUUUUAUACUUGAAGAAUUCAUCGAAUUAACUUAUCUGAUCUGAAUAAAAUUCCAAACCAUUGUCAGUUCCAUAUAAAUUAAUUUUCUCCAAAAUUUUAAUUGAAUGUUAAAAUUAACAAAAGAUAAUUGGUACUCAUUAUUUCCUCAAUUAUAACACACCUAUGUUAAAAAAUAAAAUUUAAUUUCAUCAAAUGACAAACAAAAUCAAUUUAUUACAAAUCUCAAACAAACCCUAACAUACAAAUCAUGCAUUAAUACAAUAAAAUUAUCUAGGGAAAAGCUGUAAAACACUUAAAUAUACAAGAAAAAAAUAAAUACUAGAAACAGAUUUUAAUGAAUUAACUUAGAACAUAAAUGGGUUAAAAAAAUGAGCAGGUUUACUAACUUGGUGGUGUAAAAUUUGAUAAAAAAAUAAAACCAAGAGAACAAAGAUGAUGUUAUUGACAAAAGGUUGUCGACAUUGGCAGGUUAAGUGGUUGGAUUUGCAAGAGAGAUGCUGAAAUUUGAAGAGAUUUGAAGAGGAGGAUGAUAUUGUGUUUUUAGCAAAUGAAGAAGAAGAAAUGGGAUGAAGAGAGAAGGAUGGGGUUUUAAUUCAUUUAAAUCAUUGAUGGAAAUUCCAUCAGUAAUACCGACGUGUCAAGUUCCUGAUGGAAAUUUAAUUGAUUUUUAUUUUUUAUUUUUUGGUCACUAUUUUCAUUAGAAAUUUCUAAUGAAAUAUUUAUCUGUGUUUUCAUUAUUUUAUGUCAAUUUUGUGAUAGUGAAAGACACAAGGGGUAUGUAGCACUCAUGAUCUGAUGAAAGCACGUUUGACCCAAGUUCUUUUACAAAUCCAAAUGUAGAACAACUCUUCUAGAUGAGGUCGAUAAAACAACAUAGGAGCUUUUGUAUCACCACCAUAGUUUACCCUAAGAUGGCCAUCCAUGAGGAAGCUCACUUGUCAAUAUUGAACAAUGGAAAUCAGAGCGUAACGAUUUCAAGGCUGAAUGCGUGGAGCAUGAACAAAGCCCAAAUCAAUUGCAAAGAAAACUUCAUUUCACAAGGCAUCGCAUCAGAGAGGAAAGAGCGUGAGAUGACCUCUGUUGUGCGGGUGGUUUGUGUUAUUUUUUCAUUAUUUAUAAAAAACCAACAUUAUUUUCAAAUUAAUAAAAUAAUUAAUAAUCACUCCUAAAACAACAUUGAAAAUAAAACUAAUCUACAUGGACCAAAACUAAUAUAAUAAUAUUUGCUAAAAAAGUGGCAAGUUUUAUUACAUUGACAUCUAGCAUAUUCUAUUUUUUAUAUUUUGUUCAAUUUAAAUUUAUUAUUUAUAUUUUUAUGCGCCUUAUAUUUAUGUUAUUUUUUUAGUUAAAUUUUAUUAUGUUAAUCAUAUACAUUGUAUCUUUAUUGAAUCUUGAAUUUAAAUUUAUUAUUUCACUUUCUUAUGUGCUCUUUAUUUAUGAAUUGACUGACAGGUAGACACUUGUGAACAAAAACAUCUCAACUCAUAGGUCUCUGGUCUGUAAUAUUAAUUGAGUGAGCUUCUGCAAGUUUCGAACUUAUCAUAUAUAAACAGGUGUAUGAAAAGAUGUAUUAAAAAAUAAUAUAAAUCAUAUAUUAAAAUAUUGUUUAAUACCUAAUAGCUAAAGUUAUUAAGUUAGAUGGUUCUUUGUCAAACAAGAUAUUUAACUAUUAAAUUAAACUAAAAUUUUACAAGAUAAUUCUAUUAUGCCACUUAUCAGUAUUAAUGGUAAUUAGACUAAUAAGACAAUACAAGUGUCGAUGGAAUCAAAUCAAGAUAAACAAGGAAGGUGUCAUGAUCAUACUAACAUGGAAACAAACCAAUCCUUUGCUAACAAGGAAGGUUACAUUGGAGGACAUCAUGGAAACAAGACAAAAACAAAAAGAGAGGUUGGUUGACAUUAUGGAAACUAACCAAUUUCUUGCUAACAAGGAAGGUUACGUUGGAGGACAUCAUGGAAACAAAACAAGACAGAAACAGAGAUGAUUAUGGAAACAAAUUAACUGCAGCAGUGUUGCAGCAUUGACACAUUAGGUAGAUGCUAUUGAAGAAUUUUAUUGUUGUAUAUUCACGUUGGACUAGCAAAAACAGAGAAACUUUUCUUUCCUCCGAAACUUCCUUGUCCUCUGAAAUUUUCUCUAUCAGACUAUUGGAUUUCCCAAAAUAAAACCUUGUUAUGGUCAAUUUUGUUGUUAUAUUCAAAUUUUUUUAGAUUUAUUAUUUUAAUUCGGAUUUUAAUUUCAUUUUCCUUGUACUUUUGGAUUUCUAGUUGUUUCCAUGUAGAUAUAGGUUUCUUAUAAUCUAUUUAAAUGUCUUAUAAACCUCUGUCAGGCAAACUUUAUAAACUUUAAUUUCAAAUAAAUAAAUUGUAAAUUUAAGAUUUGCAUCUACAACUUUUCUGUGAUUUCUAUGUUGUUGUUGUUUUUCAAAUAUUUACUGUGUUUUUUGUGCUUUUGCUUCCGUCUGUGUCAAAAACUUUGAUGAUCAAUCAUUUGUAAGGAAUGACAAUAAUUAGAAAACAUAUACCUGUUUUUCCUUCAGCAAAUAUGUAUUGUUGUCUUAUUUAUUGCAUCCUGGAAAUGUGCUAGAUGUCUUAUAUUGUCCACCGAGACCGAGGAGGGUUUGGGUACCAAGUUGUAAUUGUGGAAAAUUCGGGGCAAGAGUGUAAUAAGUAAAAUGAGGGUAUUUAAAUUGUGAGUGGCUUCUCCUGGAAACCAUUCAUGUCCGGCCACUGUGUGUGAGUAAACAGGGGAGGGCUUUGUCGAUUUUAUUUGGUUUCCACCAUAAACUCACUCAUUCAAACACUACGUAAGAGAGGGUAAAGGAUCAAAAGAGGGGUUUAGGAGGAAAUUGAGCUGAUAAUUGAAGUUUUCUUGGAGUUUUGAAGGGCAUAAAGUGACGGGUUGGGAGGAAAGAAUUAGAGGAAGAAGUAAACUUCUUUUCAUCAUCUUUUUCCUUCGAACUUUUUGUGUUUAAGAGGUGAAAAGCCUUGAUUCAGGCUUGGUUUGAGUUUAAUCUUGUGAAAUGGAUUCAUUUUAGGUGAUAUAUGCAUGAUGGAAGUUUGAAAUUUGUUGAAUGAAUGUUUAAAUUGAUGAUAUUGUGUAGUUUGAAAGAUAUUUAUAAGCGUGAAAUAUGAUGGGACAAUGAUUCAAUUGGAAGAAUUGAAGAGAAAAUCUACCCCAUUGAUGGGUUUCGGCCAAGACAAAAAGAAAAGGGUGAGAUUUUUAUUAUGUCGAGUACUGAUAAAAAUAAAAAAGUACAAAGCUACUAGUCAAGGGUGAGCAAAAACAAUUAAAAAACUGAUUAAACUAAAAAAACCAGAAAAAAAUAACUGAAAAAAUCAAAUCAGGAAAAAAAAUCGAUCAAACCGAUUAAAAUUUAAAGAAAACCAACCGGUUUGGUUUCAGUUUUAAGUCUGAAACCGAAAAAACAGAACAGAACCGGACCCAAACAUAAAAAAAAACUGGAAAAAAACCUGAGCCAAACCGGGAAAACCCGAACCAAAUCAAUUUUAAAAACUGGUCGGUUUGAAAUGGUUUCGAUUUUAAAAAAAAAUUAUUUUAGUUUUGUUAUUUUUUUUUAUAAAAAUCAAACCAAAUCGAAAAUGAUCACCCUAAUUCAUUCGAAUCGUCAAGAAUUCAACCAAAGCAAGAAGUAUACUUUAGCGAGAAAAAAGGAUCCCAAUAGGCUAUUGCAGAGCUGAAUGCAAUUUUCAAGAAGUCUGAGACAGAUGCUCCCAACAAGAUCAUUGUGGGCGGGUUUGCAAAUUAGACUAACAAUGUCUAUUCCAGAAAAUAGACCUUAAGAUGCAGAAUUGCAUAUGAGAUUUGAUGGCCAUUGAAAAGAAAAAAAAAAAAGUUGAAGGCAAUGGAACACAUUGACAUUCCUUAAAAAACAUGGUGGUUCUUCAAUGCUUUUAUAAUUAGAAAAAAAUGCAGGGAUUUCAUACAAAUUUGACUUUUGUGUUCCUUUUUGCUAGAAUCCCAUUAGUCUAAUGGUUCUCUGGCCUUAUUUUUAAAUCCACUCGAUUAUUUUAUAUAUAUACACACACACACCUAGUUUAUAAUGUGAUAAACUAAUGACCAUGAUGGAUAAUAAUACGUUUUGCACGAAGAUCAGCUUCUUUUUGGAAACUUUAUAAUGUCAAAUUAUAAACACUUUCAUCUUAUUAGUCCUAAAAUCAGAUCCAAAUAUAUAUGAGCUUUCAUAAUCCAAAAACAAGGCUUAUCAGUUUACUUCAAUCAAACAAGCUUGAUGUCAAUAAGGAUUAAGAAACAUGCAAAAAUGGGAAAUAUAGAAUCUGAUAUCUGGAAAUGGUACAAUUGUCCAAAUAAUCUCUAAUACUCAUUAAAGAACAAGAAAACACCAGCAAAAUUGUUUACAUCUCUUCUUUGAUCUCUUAGUAUUGGUUCAACAAUUAUUUAUGCAGUUAAUAUAUCAUUGCAAGCAAAUGAAGAUUGAGGCCAAAGCUUCACAAACAGUGCAAGAUGUUUCAGAUGAGCCUGUUAAGCAAGCUAUGCAUAAUAGUGUUGAUAAAAAUAGACUUGAAAAAUAACAUUACAGUAUUGCAAUAAAAAGAUAAAGAAGAUAAAUAAAAGCAUAAGUUGAAGUAUAAUUAUUCUAAUUUAAUUAUUUUUACCUUGAAUGUUGUAGAGAAUCUUCAUUAUCAAAAGCUGACAAAAUUCGAGUCCUUGAAACAAAAUUGUACUGCCAUUUUUUUUCUAGUUCAAAGAAAAUACCAUUGCCAAGCACUCUUCUUUUUGAUUAAUUUUGAAAUCACCACACAUAUAUAAUAAGAAAAUGACACAACUUGUUUGGAUUAUCUUUCUUCUGACGAGCAUAUCCCUACAUAAUGCAUAACCCAGUUGAUAAAAAACUACAAAUGCAAUCUCUAGAAUUAAGUUUGUCAUCAGCAAAGUUUGUCCUGAUGUCAUCAUCCUCUUCUUCUUCUUCUUCUCUAGCCCUGCAGAUACAAAUAAACAUUAAAUUAAAAAUUGAUUUUGAAGUAAUUUUUUAAAAAAUAGCCUGCCAAGUAAUCUAAAAAAAAGUUUUUAAAGAAAUUCUCCUUGUUUUAAAGGCAAGUAGUUGAAGAUAACAACAAAAUGAACAAAAUUAUAAUAUGAGUUGAGUUAUGUUAUUCAUUAAGCAACAUAAAUAAAUUAGUUUUACCUGAUCAAGAUAGAAUCCUGCCUACAAAUUCUACAACUUAGUCAUUGAUUUUAAUAUAACCAAAGAGCACUUUGAUUCAGAAGAAUCAAAAGAAAUACGUGAUGAAACAAAAUUAGUGGUUAAACUAUAUAUAAAAAAAGGAGGAUGAUAGAAAGUAAAGUUUACCAUGACUAGAGAGUACUCAUCUAGUUUUUGGAUGGCCAUGUCCCUAAGCAAGUCAUGCAUCUUGACAGCACUACCACCAUCAAUUCUUUCCAAUAAGCAGACAUUUUCUAGUCUAUCAAGAAUUGAGUGGCACUUGUCAACUGCUGCUUGGCUGUUCAUUUCUUGAAUUAUCCCCUCCUCGAUAAACGACUCUAUCAACACCUCCCUUUCAAUCUUAUGGCGUUCAUCAAAUAAUGCACAAUAUACGAAACAUUGUUGUGCUGAAUCAUCUAAACAAUCAUAACUCAAUCUUAAUAUCUGGAACAUUUGAUCUUCAAUGUCCCAAAAAUCUGAUUCUUUCAAUCUCUUCAAUGUAAUCCUCCACUCAUGUAGGUCAUCCACUCCCUUCAAACUUUCUGCUAAUGUAACAAUUCCCAAUGGCAAACCAGCACAUUCCCUUGCAACAUCUACAGCAAUUCGUUCCACUUCUGGAGAAAAUGGUUUUUCAUGUCCAAGCUUCUCCAUGAACAAAGUCCAGGAUUUUUCAUCAGAAUGAGUAUCCACUCUUAUAUUGUUUUGGCUAUUCAUCUGUCGACAUACUAUUUCUGAUCGAGUUGUGAUAAUGAGCUUGCAUCCUUUCAAUGGGAUAGGAAUCCCCACUUCUUGUGGUUCAAAAGAGUUCCACAAAUCAUCUAAAAUGAGAAUCCAUUUUUGUUUCAUCGCUAGUUCUUUUGCUAACUUGACAGCUCUAGACAGAUCAUCUUCUUUGCUUGAAAGAUCUAAAUGAAGACAUUUAGCAAUAAGAUCCUGCAAUUCUUCAAUCUUGAAACCUUGAGGCACAUUCACCCAGUAGACACUAUGAGAAAUAUCUCGUCUUUCUAGAAGCUCAUUGCGGAUAUGUUGCAGUAUUGUCGUUUUACCAACUCCCCCCAUUCCGUAAAUGCCAAUGGUUGAGACUUCAUCAUCCAUUAACCAAGACCAUAUCACCUUCACAUUCUGUUCAAAUGCUCGACCCACUAGCUUUGUAGAGCUAGCACUUGUGCUGGGCUGCACUAAUCUUCCACUACUGUUCUCCAUUAAUCUAGCUCGUUC